AUACGGAGGGUGCAAGCGUUACUCGGAAUCACUGGGCGUAAAGCGCGCGCAGGCGGGCUGAUAAGUUGGAUGUGAAAGCCUACGGCUCAACCGUAGAACUGCAUCCAAAACUGUCAGUCUAGAGUCUGGGAGGGGAAGAUGGAAUUAGUUGUGUAGGGGUAAAAUCCGUAGAGAUAACUAGGAAUACCAAAAGCGAAGGCGAUCUUCUGGAACAGUACUGACGCUGAGGCGCGAAAGCGUGGGGAGCAAACAGAAUUAGAAACCCUAGUAGUCC
rnacentral:rRNA from 1 species